rnacentral:rRNA from 14 species
UCACGAUCACCCACUGAAUUUAAGCAUAUUAUUAAGUGGAGGAAAAGAAAAUAACCAUGAUGGUGAGAGUAACAGCGAGUGAAAACACCAAGAGUGAGUCCAACAUGAAAAUCUCACCUUUUUACAGAAGUGAGAGUUG